AUUGAACGCUGGCGGCAGGCCUAACACAUGCAAGUCGAACGAGCGGCGGACGGGUGAGUAAUGUCUGGGAAACUGCCUGAUGGAGGGGGAUAACUACUGGAAACGGUAGCUAAUACCGCAUACCAUCGGAUGUGCCCAGAUGGGAUUAGCUAGUAGGUGGGGUAAAGGCUCACCUAGGCGACGAUCCCUAGCUGGUCUGCGAGGAUGACCAGCCACACUGGAACUGAGACACGGUCCAGACUCCUACGGGAGGCAGCAGUGGGGAAUAUGGCACAAUGGGCGCAAGCCUGAGGCAGCCAUGCCGCGUGUAUGAAGAAGGCCUUAGGGUUGUAAAGUACUUUCAGCGGGGAGGCGUUACCCGCAGAAGAAGCACCGGCUAACUCCGUGCCAGCAGCCGCGGUAAUUC
rnacentral:rRNA from 1 species